ensembl:lncRNA
CAAUGACAACCGCCCGUCGCAGAGCCCCUGAAGGGGCCCCCUCUGCCGUGAGUCAAAGUCGCCCCUCCCUCACCUCCUUCUCUCUGUCAGACAGAGGGAGAGGGGGAGAGAGAGGUGCCCACAGCGUGUGCAGCUGCUCUUCAGUAAAUAAAAACAUGGAGGCGUAACUGCGGAGAGGACGAUAGAUAAUGAAGAGAAGUUAUCCUUCUGGAAGUGAAAAAAGAAAGAAAAAAAAGGAGGAGGAAGAGAAAAGAAAACAAGAAAGCGGAUCCCUAAGGAGAUUUUUCACUUCAAAAGGUGUUGUGACACCUUCUUCAGAUACGGAUCAUACAAGUUUUUCUCUCUACAUCUGUUCUCUGAGCCACUAGAUGGAGACACCGGAUCAGUUUAGGUUCUUGAUGGGUUUCAGUCAGGACUUUGGACAGACCAGUCUAAACCUUCAUUCCAGCCUGAUAGAACCAUUUCUUUACCACUAAAUGAGUCAUUUCUGACCAAUUUUGAGUCAUUUUUAACCAAUCUAGACAGGUUUCAAGUCAUUUCUGAGCCAAGUUGAACAGGUUUUGUCAUUUUAAGUGAUUCUGAACCAAUUCUUGGUCAUUUUGGACAUUUUUCUGUCAUUUUGAACACAUUUGAUUCAUUUUCAACAUGUUUUACUCGUGGAUAAUUUCUGACCUAUUUUGGGGCAAAUUUUAAACCAUUUUGGACUAAUUUUGAGUCAUUUUGAGCAACUUUUAAAUCAUUUUGAGCAACCUUUAAAUCAUUUUGAACCACUUCUUAGUCAUUUUGGAUCAUGUCUGAGCUGUCAAUUCAUCACAUCAGAUUAUAUUAAACAUGUUAUGUACAGGCAUGAACAAAAGUUUACUAGUAGAGGCCAUGUUGAUGAUGGCAGCCUUCAGCUUAUAAUGACUCCUAGAACUCUGAAAUCAUUGAAACACGCAAAUCUUUGUCACAUAAAAAACAAUCCUGUAUUUUCGUCCUUUCAUAGAUUUAUUAAAGGUCUCCUGGUUUAUCUUUGACGCCUCUGGACAGAAUUGGUGACUCAGACUUGUUUCUUCAUCAGGUUCUUGAUGGGUUUAAGUCAGGACUUUGGGGAGACCAGUCUAGAACCUUCAUUCUAUCCUGAUGGAACCAUUUCUUUACCACGUCUGAUGUGUGUUUGGGCUCAUUGUCUUGUUGAAACAUCCAAGAACAUAAACAACUUUUUUUAAUCUAAAUCUUAUCUUAACACAGUUAAUGUAUUAACUUAUUUAUGUGUGUAUGCAUGUAUUUAUUGAUUUAUUUAGUACUGUUAACAUAUCAGAGUUCUGAGUGAAUUUUUCUUAAGAUAGGCAAAGGCCAUUUAUUGAUUACAUAGAGGCUGUUAAAUGUUUAUUAAAAACUAAAAAGCAUUUAAAAAAAAACAACUUAGGCAUUUAUUGAGUCACUAAAACACUGUAGAGUACAGACCACAUCAGCAUGAUUCUAAGCAUCCUCUGGUAAAUGAACAACCAGAUACUGAUGUCUCUCACCAUAUGGACUUCAGGAGAUGAUUAGAUGAUGAUAAACUGUGACCUACUGGUUGGGUUCUCUCUGUUCUCAUGUUUCUUACAUGUUUGUCCCCUGACAGCCGGGUCCUAAUGUUUUUUGAGCAACACACCAUAGUAUGAUGUUUUUACAAUGAUGGUUCUACUAUGGAACCAGUUUGACAUGUUCAGGUGUUCUUUGUGUGAAAACUCAGAGACUUCAGGUAUCAGAAAGUGGUUUUCAACUUUCUUUGUUAACUUUCUGCUUCAACUUUAAAUUAAAUUUCCUUCACUAACCCCGCCCUCUGGACUUCCAGUAAGCUGUGUUCCUAUUGGCUGUCCAGGUGGCUGCUUGGUGUUAUCAGGAACACCUGAGCUGCUUGGUGUUAUCAGGAACACCUGAGCUGCUUGGUGUUAUCAGGAACACCUGAGCAGCUCACUGUCUUCCUGCUUUAUUUAGCUGCAGACAAACAUUUCCUCUGCUUCUGUUCACCACAGAACCGGGUUUGGCUCCGGUUGCUUGAGUUUGUUCUUUAGACGUUGGCUUGCAGCUUCCAGCAGUAAAAUCGUCUUUAAUGUGUUUCUUGGUGUGUUUUAGGGCUUUGUACUGGAUAGUUGUCUUGGUAAAUGUGGUUCUUUAGCCACAGUUAGCACAUGGUGCUAAUGUGUGCAGUGAUUAGUGGAUUUGAUGCAGCUGAGUUGUGUCUUUAUCUUGGCUGUAGUGAGUCUUCAGAGGUUUCUGGUCAGACACAUUCUGUAUUCUUGUUUGAGAACCAGCGUUGGUUGUCCAGAAGGUAAGAGUUCCUGUCCUGAUUCUCUGUUCUCAGAGGUUCUCUGGUAGGCUGCAGGAGACUUUAGUGUUUGGGUUGUGCUAGUUUGGUUUUUGUAUGGUUUCAUUUGGACGACUAUCUUGAGGCUCCUCCAUGUGGUUUAGUGAGGUUUUCUGUAACAGUUCUACAAAGCAACCUGCAGCAGAAGAGACUUUCAGAGUUUUUAGGAAGUUCUGGAGACCAGACUUUAGAGCAGCAGGAACAUUUGUCAGCAGUUUGAGCAGGAGAAGGUGAGCUUCAGAGUAGAAAUGAGAUGGAAACCUUCUUGACCCGUGUGGUGAGGUCCUGUACCAAGAGUUUGAGCAGGUUGUGAAGAGUCUGUAGUUCUUUGGUCUGAAAGCACAAGAAGAGUCGACUCAUUAAAGGAGAAAACAGGAGAU